rnacentral:piRNA from 1 species
UCUUUCUAGCACUGGGGUUCACCCUCA